CCGGGAGCAUUGAUUUUGAGAUUGCAAACUAGUUUUAGUGGGUAAUGCAAGGCACUUGUAUUGGUUCGAACCCCGAGCGCACGCCAACAGACAACACAAGGCGGUGUGGAGCAACACGCUGUUUUAAUAAGCGCCCGAGCGCCGGCGGGCUGAGGCCUAAAAUGGCGUCAGCCCGAAACGGGGACGGGGCAGGGGUUUUAUAGUCUCCUGUUAACAGGACGUGUCUGACGUAACUGCUACGCUUACCCAGACGGCCUCUCUCUUGGUCUUCGGCGGGUACGUGUCUUCCGGCCAGCUCUCUUCCGCUUCUGCUGUCUUGAUGACGCACAGUGCUGGCGCAAGUCGUCUUGCGCCAGGCGACUGGGUCUGAGGAGGCAGGAGUUAUUCAUUCCCUUAAGCUUUCAGGCCGGGGGGAGAAUCUUUCAGGUGGUAGCUGCAAGAACUCUUAGUAUGUUGACCUCACCUCUGCCUUCCACAUACCACUACCAGUGAGGAAUUAGGAAUGCAUGAGAAGAGUGUCCAAGAAGAGUGUCCUCAUUCAUGCAAGGCUUAAGAGAGAAUGCAGGUCAACAUCACCAUGUCAAUCAGAGACACCUGCUUCCCUUUUGUCUUCUGCCAUGAUUGGAAGCUUCCUGAGGCCUCCCCAGAAGAUGAGCAGAUGCCAACACCAUGCUUCCCAUACAGCCUGUGGAACU
rnacentral:lncRNA from 1 species